rnacentral:rRNA from 1 species
AUUGAACGCUGGCGGCAGGCCUAACACAUGCAAGUCGAGCGGAGCGGCGGAGGGGUGAGGAAUGCCUAGGAAUCGGCAUGGGAGCGGGGAAUAACGUCCGGAAACGGGCGCUAAUACCGCAUACUAUCAGAUGAGCCUAGGUCGGAUUAGCUAGUUGGGGGGGUAAAGGCCUACCAAGGCGACGAUCAGUAACUGGGCUGAGAGGAUGAUCAGUCACACUGGAACGGAGACACGGUCCAGACGCCUACGGGAGGCAGCAGUGGGGAAUAUUGGACAAUGGGCGAAAGCCUGAUCCAGCCAUGCCGCGUGUGUGAAGAAGGUCUUCGGAUUGUAAAGCACUUUAAGUUGGGAGGCGUUACCAACAGAAUAAGCACCGGCUAACUUCGUGCCAGCAGCCGCGGUAAUAC